UCAAACUUGGUCAUUUAGAGGAAGUAAAAGUCGUAACAAGGUUUCCGUAGGUGAACCUGCGGAAGGAUCAUUAUUGAAUAACUCUAGGUUGUUGCUGGCUCUUGGGGGCAUGUGCACGCCUACAUCUUUAACCACCUGUGCACCUUGUGUAGAUCUGAGAAACUCUGAUGAAAUACUCAGUUUGAGAAUUGCUGAGCGCAAAGCCAGCUGUUCUUGUGAUCAAAUCUAUGUCUUUCAUAUACUCCGCAGGAAUGUAUUCGCAUGUAGUAAUUGGCCUUCGCGCCAUUAAAAUUUAAUAUAACUUUCAACAACGGAUCUCUUGGCUCUCGCAUCGAUGAAGAACGCAGC
rnacentral:misc_RNA from 1 species